CAAACGGUCCUUUUCAGGACCACCAAAAAUGUCUCGCAAAAGAGUU
rfam:Anopheles darlingi Cont7861, whole genome shotgun sequence.